rnacentral:rRNA from 1 species
GUGGGGAAUAUUGGACAAUGGGCGAAAGCCUGAUCCAGCCAUGCCGCGUGUGUGAAGAAGGUCUUCGGAUUGUAAAGCACUUUAAGUUGGGAGGAAGGGCAGUAAGUUAAUACCUUGCUGUUUUGACGUUACCGACAGAAUAAGCACCGGCUAACUUCGUGCCAGCAGCCGCGGUAAUACGAAGGGUGCAAGCGUUAAUCGGAAUUACUGGGCGUAAAGCGCGCGUAGGUGGUUUUGUAAGUUGGAGGUGAAAUCCCCGGGCUCAACCUGGGAACUGCCUCCAAAACUACUGAGCUAGAGUACGGUAGAGGGUAGUGGAAUUUCCUGUGUAGCGGUGAAAUGCGUAGAUAUAGGAAGGAACACCAGUGGCGAAGGCGACUACCUGGACUGAUAUUGACGCUGAGGCACGAAAGCGUGGGGAGCAAACAGGAUUAGAAACCCCGGUAGUCC